rnacentral:rRNA from 1 species
ACUCCUACGGGAGGCAGCAGUGGGGAAUAUUGCACAAUGGGGGAAACCCUGAUGCAGCCAUGCCGCGUGUGUGAAGAAGGCCUUCGGGUUGUAAAGCACUUUCAGUAGGGAGGAAGGUAGUGUAGUUAACACCUGCAUUAUUUGUACGUUACCUACAGAAGAAGCACCGGCUAACUCCGUGCCAGCAGCCGCGGUAAUACGGAGGGUGCGAGCGUUAAUCGGAAUUACUGGGCGUAAAGCGCAUGCAGGCGGCCUGUUAAGUCAGAUGUGAAAGCCCGGGGCUUAACCGUCGGAAUUGCAUUUGAAACUGGCAGGCUAGAGUCUUGUAGAGGGGUUAGAAUUUCAGGUGUAGCGGUGAAAUGCGUAGAGAUCU